rnacentral:rRNA from 1 species
UGGGGAAUUUUGCGCAAUGGGCGAAAGCCUGACGCAGCGACGCCGCGUGAGUGAUGAAGGCCUUCGGGUCGUAAAGCUCUGUGGGAAGGGAACGAAAAGAAUCGGGGAACAAUACCCCUGGUUCGUGACGGUACCCUUCCAGAAAGCACCGGCUAACUCCGUGCCAGCAGCCGCGGUAAUACGGAGGGUGCAAGCGUUGUUCGGAAUUAUUGGUCGUAAAGGGCGUGUAGGCGGAGUGUUGUGUCGGGUGUGAAAGCCCUCGGCUUAACCGAGGAAAUGCACUCGAAACUGGCAUUCUUGAGUACGGGAGAGGGAAGCGGAAUUCCCAGUGUAGAGGUGAAAUUCGUAGAUAUUGGGAGGAACACCGGUGGCGAAGGCGGCUUCCUGGACCGAUACUGACGCUGAGACGCGAAAGCGUGGGGAGCAAACAGG